rnacentral:rRNA from 1 species
CACGUAGGGUGCGAGCGUUGUCCGGAAUUAUUGGGCGUAAAGAGCUCGUAGGCGGUGUGUCGCGUCGGCCGUGAAAACCUGCAGCUUAACUGUGGGCUUGCGGUCGAUACGGGCAUCACUGGAGUUCGGCAGGGGAGACUGGAAUUCCUGGUGUAGCGGUGAAAUGCGUAGAUAUCCGGAGGAACACCGGUGGCGAAGGCGGCUUCCUGGACCGACACUGACGCUGAGGCGCGAAAGCCAGGGGAGCAAACGGG